CGGCCUGAGAGGGUGUCCGGCCACACUGGGACUGAGAUACGGCCCAGACUCCUACGGGAGGCAGCAGUGGGGAAUAUUGCACAAUGGGCGCAAGCCUGAUGCAGCGACGCCGCGUGGGGGAUGACGGCCUUCGGGUUGUAAACCUCUUUCAGCACAGACGAAGCGCAAGUGACGGUAUGUGCAGAAGAAGCACCGGCCAACUACGUGCCAGCAGCCGCGGUAAUACGUAGGGUGCGAGCGUUGUCCGGAAUUACUGGGCGUAAAGAGCUUGUAGGUGGNUUUGUCGCGUUGUUCGUGAAAUCUCACGGCUUAACUGUGAGCGUGCGGGCGAUACGGGCAGACUAGAGUACUGCCAGGGGAGACUGGAAUUCCUGGUGUAGCGGUGGAAUGCGCCAGAUAUCAGGAGGAACACCNGGUGGGCGAAGGCGGGGUCUCUGGGGCAGUUAACUUGACGCCUGAGAAAGCGAAAAGCGGNGGGGGAGCGGAA
rnacentral:rRNA from 1 species